UGCAACACAGAAUGAAUUUUUACUCCUGUUGCCUUGAGGACAUUCAUUGGAAACAUCAUGUUGCACUUGAUGGAGAUUCUCCUGAUGAAAAGAGCUAAUGCCAUCUCCAAAAUACAGUAAAGACCACUCUAAAAGGCACAUUGCCAGAGAACACUCAUGUAUCUGGAUGGACACUGUCAUGGAAAUGUUCCAGAUGAGGUAGGAGAAAUGGUGAAGAGGAAUCACAAGGAAAGAAGGAGGAGCAUGAACACAGAGAUUCCAAAAAUAUGUCCAAAGUGAUAAUAUAUGGAACUGAGAGGAGGGAAUUCCGGCAUUCGAUUGAAAGAGAGGAG